GAUGAACGCUGGCGGCGUGCCUAAUACAUGCAAGUCGAGCGAACAGACGAGGAGCUUGCUCCUCUGACGUUAGCGGCGGACGGGUGAGUAACACGUGUAUAACCUACCUAUAAGACUGGUAUAACUUCGGGAAACCGGAGCUAAUACCGGAUAAUAUAUUGAACCGCAUUGUUCAAUAGUGAAAGACGGUUUUGCUGUCACUUAUAGAUGGAUCCGCGCCGCAUUAGCUAGUUGUUAAGGUAACGGCUUACCAAGGCAACGAUGCGUAACCGACCUGAGAGAGUGAUCGGCCACACUGGAACUGAGACACGGUCCAGACUACUACGGGAGGCAGCAGUCGGGAAUCGUCCGCAAUGGGCGAGAGCCUGACGGAGCAACGCCGCGUGAGUGAUGAAGGUCUUCGGAUCGUAAAACUCUGUUAUUAGGGAAGAACAAAUGUGUAAGUAACUAUGCACGUCUUGACGGUACCUAAUCAGAAAGCCACGGCUAACUACGUG
rnacentral:rRNA from 1 species